rnacentral:lncRNA from 1 species
AGCAAUGGUCGCCAAAGUUUAUGUCACAAGCUUUUCCAAUAGUACUAAUUUUACAGCGAUCAGAUUCUGUUGGGAAAUCAACGGUUAAAAUUGUUUGUGAUGUAUUGAAAUUAUCGAGGACUGGAUCGGAGAAUCAGAUGCCACCAUCAUUGUCUACGCGCUGUCCCUGGUCCGAAGGCGCGCUCGGAUCGUCGAUCGGACUCCGGCAGCUGAAGGUGAG